AGGUGACUAUAGCAUCAGGGUUCCACCUCUUCCCAUUCCGAACAGAGAAGUUAAGCCUGAUUACGCCGAUGGUACUGCGUAACAGUGGGAGAGUAGGUAGUCGCCG
rnacentral:rRNA from 1 species